rnacentral:rRNA from 1 species
CCUACGGGUGGCAGCAGUGAGGAAUCUUUGUCAAUGGGCGCGAGCCUGAACCAGCCACGUCGCGUGAGGGAAGACGGUCCUAUGGAUUGUAAACCUCUUUUGUCGGGGAGCCAAAGACGCCACGCGUGGCGUUCCGAGAGUACCCGAAGAACAAGCAUCGGCUAACUCCGUGCCAGCAGCCGCGGUAAUACGUAGGAUGCGAGCGUUAUCCGGAUUUAUUGGGUUUAAAGGGUGGGCAGGCGGAAGAUCAAGUCAGCGGUAAAAUUGAGAGGCUCAACCUCUUCGAGCCGGUGAAACUGGUUUGCUUGAGUGAGCGAGAGGGAUGCGGAAUGCGUGGUGUAGCGGUGAAAUGCAUAGAUAUCACGAAGAACUCUGGUGGCGAAGGCAGCAUACCGGCGCUCAACUGACGCUCAUGCACGAAAGUGUGGGUAUCGAACAGGAUGAGAUACCCUAGUAGUC